rnacentral:sRNA from 1 species
UACUUAGGAGACAUAGAAAUGAACAGGA